UGGGGAAUAUUGCACAAUGGGCGCAAGCCUGAUGCAGCCAUGCCGCGUGUGUGAAGAAGGCCUUCGGGUUGUAAAGCACUUUCAGCGAGGAGGAAGGUGGUGAGCUUAAUACGCUCGUCAAUUGACGUUACUCGCAGAAGAAGCACCGGCUAACUCCGUGCCAGCAGCCGCGGUAAUACGGAGGGUGCAAGCGUUAAUCGGAAUUACUGGGCGUAAAGCGCACGCAGGCGGUUUGUUAAGUCAGAUGUGAAAUCCCCGGGCUCAACCUGGGAACUGCAUUUGAAACUGGCAAGCUAGAGUCUCGUAGAGGGGGGUAGAAUUCCAGGUGUAGCGGUGAAAUGCGUAGAGAUCUGGAGGAAUACCGGUGGCGAAGGCGGCCCCCUGGACGAAGACUGACGCUCAGGUGCGAAAGCGUGGGGCAGCAAACAGGAUUAGAUACCCUGGUAGUCCACGCUGUAAACGAUGUCGAUUUUGGAGGUUGUGCCCUUGAGGCGUGGCUUCCGGAGCUAACGCGUUAAAUCGACCGCCUGGGGAGUACGGCCGCAAGGUUAAAACUUAAAGGAAUUG
rnacentral:rRNA from 1 species